rnacentral:rRNA from 1 species
GGUAACACUGAAUGGAGGACCGAACCGACUUACGUUGAAAAGUGAGCGGAUGAACUGAGGGUAGCGGAGAAAUUCCAAUCGAACCUGGAGAUAGCUGGUUCUCUCCGAAAUAGCUUUAGGGCUAGCCUCAAGUGAUGAUUAUUGGAGGUAGAGCACUGUUUGGACGAGGGGCCCCUCUCGGGUUACCGAAUUCAGACAAACUCCGAAUGCCAAUUAAUUUAACUUGGGAGUCAGAACAUGGGUGAUAAGGUCCGUGUUCGAAAGGGAAACAGCCCAGACCACCAGCUAAGGUCCCAAAAUAUAUGUUAAGUGGAAAAGGAUGUGGCGUUGCCCAGACAACUAGGAUGUUGGCUUAGAAGCAGCCAUCAUUUAAAGAGUGCGUAAUAGCUCACUAGUCGAGUGACACUGCGCCGAAAAUGUACCGGGGCUAAACAUAUUACCGAAGCUGUGGAUUGUCCUUUGGACAAUGGUAGGAGAGCGUUCUAAGGGCGUUGAAGCAUGAUCGUAAGGACAUGUGGAGCGCUUAGAAGUGAGAAUGCCGGUGUGAGUAGCGAAAGACGGGUGAGAAUCCCGUCCACCGAUUGACUAAGGUUUCCAGAGGAAGGCUCGUCCGCUCUGGGUUAGUCGGGUCCUAAGCUGAGGCCGACAGGCGUAGGCGAUGGAUAACAGGUUGAUAUUCCUGUACCACCUAUAAUCGUUUUAAUCGAUGGGGGGACGCAGUAGGAUAGGCGAAGCGUGCGAUUGGAUUGCACGUCUAAGCAGUAAGGCUGAGUAUUAGGCAAAUCCGGUACUCGUUAAGGCUGAGCUGUGAUGGGGAGAAGACAUUGUGUCUUCGAGUCGUUGAUUUCACACUGCCGAGAAAAGCCUCUAGAUAGAAAAUAGGUGCCCGUACCGCAAACCGACACAGGUAGUCAAGAUGAGAAUUCUAAGGUGAGCGAGCGAACUCUCGUUAAGGAACUCGGCAAAAUGACCCCGUAACUUCGGGAGAAGGGGUGCUCUUUAGGGUUAACGCCCAGAAGAGCCGCAGUGAAUAGGCCCAAGCGACUGUUUAUCAAAAACACAGGUCUCUGCU